CCGUUCUUCGUUUUGUGGGUUAACAAUGGUGGUGGUGGUGGUGAUGUCGAUAACCAUCCUGAGUUCCAGCUACAGCUGCAGAGGUUCGAUUCUGAUGAAGGCCAACGCCACGUUGGGUAGCGUGAUGACGACCGAGUUGAUCAUCAAGCACGAUAUAACUCGGUAUCUCAUAUUCAAGGGUGCCACCGCAGUGACAGGUGCGACUGCGGACCCAAACAUCGUGACAUGUGGCAAUGGCGCCGGAAACACGUUUUCCGGCUGCGGUGGUAAUGCUAAUAAUACACAACAGUGCAAUGCAUACCAAGGACCUAACGCUUGCUUAUAAUCCCUUCAGUUCCAUAUUAAUAUGAUCACUAUGACUCUGCGCAGUUUCUAUGUCAUCGUGUAAUCCCCUGUUUUUUAUGAUCCUCUGUUCUUCUUUCUAUUUCUCUUUGAAGUGGAGUUUGUUUGUUUGAUGCUUUCAUUAACAAUGUAUUUGGUGCUUUGUUGUUUGUUUUUGUGAAAUAAGAACUAAAUCAAAUCACUUUUCUUCUUCUCUCUCUUGUUCAAUCCAUUGAUCCUCUAAGUAUUUUCGUAAUAAAGAUUAAAUUGUUACCGUCUACAAACUUAUAAUCUUUAUUGUUAUAUACGUAUGGUUAAGUUUUGAGUUUGAUUUCGAUUUGAUCUCUAAUUUUCAAAAUGUUGUAUUUUAAUAUUGAUAUUUGAAUUUUAUUUUAAUUUGGUCCAUAGAAUAUUUACAUUUGUCAUCUCAACUUUUCACUUAUUAAUAAUGUAUGUUAAUAAAUUUAGAAUAAUUAAAAGAAAUAUAAUGAACUAGAAUUCACUUUUUUCCUUCCUUUUAAAAUUAAUUUAGAAUUUUACGUCUUAAUUAUUUUAAAUUAAUUAGAAAACAUUAACGUCCAUCAUUCUAAAUGAGUAUUUAUUAAAAAAAAGAAAUAAAAAUAUAAAAUAUUAAAUUCUGAAAACCAAAUUGAAACAAAGUUCAAAUCUUAAAAUUUAAAACGUAACAUUUCACUCAAUAGAAACUAAACUUAAAAUCUAUAUAUAAAAUACUUAUUAUCUGACUGAACACCAAAUAUAAAUUAAAAGUCAAUUUUAAAUUUUUAAGAAUUUGAAAAUGAAAUAGAUUCAAACGUAAAAAUUUUAAUUUUACAAAUAUUUUAUUUUAGAAAAAAAUAUCAUUUUACAAGUAUGAAUUUUUCCAAUUCUAUCUGUAUAAACUUUAAAUUAAUAAAAUUUAUAAUCCAUUUUAAUAGUAAUUUUAUUAACCCAUUAUUUGAAAAGUAUGCACAGGAGCUAUAAUUGAAUGCAAUAUGGCAACUUUUAAAUGUAAUAUAAUCAUGAUAAAAGAUUUAGAUUAUUCACUUAUAACACUUUAGAAAUUUAAUUAAAAAGUUUAAUAUUUAAAUUAAUGAUUGGUUGUAUUAAUUGAAAACUUUAACUUUAUUUUUAUUACAUCAAAUUGCACUAAUAAAGUAGUGAAAGUUAGGAAAAGCAAAAACUAAAAAGCAAGAGGAAGUCCCCACAUUCCAUGCGACAUGUCGUAUUGAAAUAUGCUUUUAUCUCUUUUAAAAGUUGUUGUGUCGUUCGUCUCGUGGGAAUAGAAAACUAUUAGGAAUAUUUUGGAUAAAAAUCAUUAUAAUUUGGUCCAAAUCUUUUCUAAUCCACAAAAGCAACUUUAGGUUUUGUACUAAUACGAGCCAACCUUUACUAAUUUCUUUUACUAUUUGUUACGAUAGAUUUGGAUUAGAGGGAAAAUUAUCAGAUUAAGUAUUAAAACAUGGGAGUCUAGGUCGAUGUGUUCAAACUAACCUAUUAGGCCUCUUGUUCUUGGCCAAGGACGAUGGAGGCAUGCUCUGGCCUAUUUAGGUCAAAGUUAGAUCAAGAGGAAGUCUCUUCAUUUAAUGAAUGUGGGAUCAUUUGAUUGAGAAUUAACCUAAUAUGACUCGAAAUUCCUCAUAUAUAUAUGAACAACUUAGAUCAGAAUUUCACUAUAAAUACAUUGUUGUGAUGAUUUUAAGAGAAGUAAGUUCAUUUUCAUCCCUAAAAUUCUUGUUACAACCAAAAGCUACUUUUUGACUAAGGUAUUGGAGACGUGAUAAUUUUGUCCAUCAACACUCCCGAUCUUAAACUUAUAAUUACAUAGAACAUAUUGAUAAGGUAUUAAUGUCGGUCAAUAUGGUUUUACAUUGUAAAGAAAUCUAAAAUCAACAAAAUGUUUUGAUUUUUCUCUCGACGAAGAUAUUAGAUACUUAAAAAAAUUAUAUCUAUAAAUUUCAACCCUAAAUUACCAAUAAAACAUACUACACAUGUGAUUUGGUGAAAUCAAGAUUGGCAUCUUGGAUGUUCAAAAACUAAUAUAAAACAAAUUAAGAAAAGUUACCUAUUCAUUUAUAUUUGUUUGUUCUAAAAUAAAUUGAAUUGUUUUUCUAAACUUAACUUUUACACAGAAAACAAUUUUCGUCGAUGAUUAAACAAGAUCUCGAGAAUGAAAAUGAAAUCUACGAUACUUAAAUUCCUACCAACCAAAAAUCCUUUAAAUUAGUAAUGGAAGAAUGAAAUAUGAUCCUCUCAAUUAUUUAAUUAUAUUGACCUUUAUAAAUCACAUUUUUCAUGGCAACAUAUAAUUAUUGAUUCACUUUAGAUACAAUAAUAGUGAAGUUCUUAUUUGUGGAAUGGUAUGAUUGGUCAUAAGGCUAACUUUAAACUUUAACUUUAAUACCAAAAAGUUUCUCUCUCAAGUCUUGGUCUAUUAAAUAUUAUAAAGUAAAAGGACUCAAUUACAAAGUGAUUGCAAUAAGAGAAAAGAUAAAGGGUUUUAAAGCAUAAAAUAAAAAAGACAAGGAAAGAAAAUGGUUUCUUCACUGUAAAUAUUAUCAUUGUUGUCUUCAAUCAUUUGGUCUAUUUCUUCCCCUUCAAUAAUUCAAUACCCAAAUCAAUUACACAAUGUUUUCUAUUCUUAUUUAAUUUCUAACCUACCUUAAACCCGUUUACGCGUUAUAAAAAAUCACUUAAAUGAACUAAAAUUGUACCUAAAUGUUAGUGUGAUUUUGAGGAGAGACCUCGCAACAUGUAUAUAAAGUAUGUAGGUUAAUAUCUCGUAUUUCCAUUGUUCACAAUGUCUAUGAGAUACGUAGACCUUAUGUUGCAUAUGCUUUAAGAAAUUCUUUUCUCUAAAGAUUCAUUUAUUCUCGUAAUGUUUUAGUACAUACUCUUGGAAUUUCAGACAAACAUUUAAUAUAUUGAUUUGUUUUACAAAAUUUUACUUUUUAAAACUUUAAUAUUGUUAUCGAAAGAAACUUUAAAAUCUACCUAACAUGUUAGGAUUAUUUUAUAAAUUAAAAUAAAUUAUUUGUUAACAUUCUAAUUAUUUUUAAAAAAAUAGUAAAAGAUAGGAAAAUUUUCAAAAAUAAUAUAUUUGAGAAAAUAUUUAAUAUUUAGGAUUGAUAUCUUUAUUUCCACAUUAAGAAAAGUUUUAGAUAUUGUAUGAUGGAGUGUAUGUUCAUACAUAAAUAAAAAUUUGUAUAUUUUUAAUCUUUUAUAAAGGAAUGUGUUUUAUCUUUUUUUCUUUUCAAACUUUCCUUUCUAAAAAAGUAUAAGCAUUAAGUAUUAACACUUUUUCUCAAUUCAAAACUCUCCAUUUCAAUCCGCAUAACCAAAAAAGAUUCUUCAAUUCUUUGUCAUGAAAAUCCUUACUCCCUUCUUCGUCUUCUUCUUCCUUCUUCUUCUUCUUCUUCUUCUUCCUCCCUCCACUUCUCAAACUUCUUAUUACGUCCCUGUCGAUAACAUAGCCGUCAAUUGCGGUACCAAAGCCAUCACUGACACCGGCGAUCGAAAAUGGAUCGGCGACGUCGCUACUAAUUACUCCCCAUCCGAACCACCAAACACAGUCAACAAGUCCACCUUCAAGUCCAUUAUCUCAAACACCAUCAGCGACGAGAUCUACAGAACUGUACGCCUCUCUCGCUCUCCCUUCACCUACUCUUUCCCGGUCACUGCCGGCCCCAAAUUCAUCCGUCUCUACUUCUACCCGGAAAAAUACGAAGAAUUUAAUAGAUCCGAUGCCUUCUUCACUGUUCAAGCUGCCCAGUUCACUCUCCUUAAAAACUUCAGCGCUGCCCUCGUCGCUGAUUUCAUCAAUAAAAGCGUCAUCCCAAGAGAAUUUUGUAUCCAUAUCGCCGGAGAAGCACCAAAGUUGAACAUUACCUUCACCCCAUCUCCGAAUUCUUAUGCCUUCGUCAACGGAAUUGAAGUGGUCUCUAUGCCGGAAAACCUCUACUACUCUCCUGCGGAGCAGGGAACGACGACGCCGAUUAUUGGAAACAACAUCGCCCUUGAGCUUUAUCAUCGAAAAAAUCUUGGCGGUGACGACAUCUUUCCGAGUCAAGAUUCCGGCAUGUACCGAAAUUGGGAUGGGACUAAUCUACAUAUAACAACCAAACGAGUUAUCCCAAUACAUAAUGACUCUGUUUCUAUAAACUACACAACGAGCACUCCUAACUUCACAGCCACAGAUUCAGUUUAUCAGUCUGCUCUAAUUCUGGGUGUGAAUCGAACUCUCAAUUCUAAACAAAAUUUAUCGUUUCAAUUGCCCGUUGAUGUCGGGUUCAAUUAUUUGGUACGACUCCAUUUUUGCCAAAUUCUUAUGGAUCAGUUUCAAGGAAAACAGAAGAUUUUCACAGUGUUCAUCAAUAACCAAAAUAUCACCACUGUCGAUAUAGAUUCCAUCAAUACUCCUUUAUACAGAGAUUAUAAUGCACGGCCAAUGGCGGUUGGGAAUACUUCCGCUAUCUUAGUUGAUUUACACCCCUUACCAAGUGAGACCUUCGAUGUGAUUUUGAAUGGAUAUGAAGUGUUCAAACAAAGCAAUGGAACUAAUCUUGCAGUACCAAACCCAGUGGUCGCUCUAGCACCAGAAAUUAAACGGGGAGCCAAAAAUUCAAAUGCAACAGCGAUCAUCGCUGCUGUGUGCAGUAGCGUGGGAUUUGCCAUAUUAUCUUCAAUCGUUGGAUUUGUGGUUAUAUGGAAACAGAGUAAGAAGAUGAGGAAGAGAAGGAAGAAGAAGAAGAAAACAAGAGAGGAUAAGUUGCUGCCGGAACGACGGUGCCGGAUUUUCACCUUCGAAGAGAUUUGUGAAGCGACAGAUUACUUUAGCAAAGAGAGACAGAUAGGAGUCGGAGGAUUUGGUGCGGUUUACAAAGGAAUUUUCGAGGAUGAAGACGAUCUCACCGUCGCAAUCAAACGGUUGAACCCAGAAUCCAACCAAGGCGAACAAGAAUUCGUAACAGAGAUUGAAUUGUUAUCGGAGCUCCGUCACUUCAACCUUGUAUCUCUCAUCGGAUAUUGCUUGGAAAACAAGGAAAUGUUGCUAGUUUACGAAUAUAUGCCAAACGGAACAUUCAAAGAUCAUCUCUACGACACCUCGAAUUCUCUUCUAUCAUGGAGGAAGCGCCUAGAAAUCUGCGUUGGGGCAGCACGUGGUUUAGACUACCUACACUCCGGAUUCGAUCGACCCAUCAUCCACCGCGACGUGAAGACUACGAAUAUCCUUCUAGACGAAAAUUGGGUUGCAAGAGUUUCCGAUUUCGGGAUGUCGAAAUUGGGGCAAACCAACACGGCAGUCAGCACGGCAGUGAAAGGAACUUGGGGCUAUUUAGACCCGGAAUAUCAUCGACGUCUGAAAGUGACAGAAAAAUCCGACGUAUUCUCAUUUGGGGUCAUCUUGUUCGAAGUGCUGUGUGGGAGAAAACCAUUGGACCCGCUUGCCGGUGAAGAGAAGUUCAAGCUUACGCUAUGGGCUAAGAAAUGCUUGGAGAAAGGGAAUGCUUAUGAAAUUAUCGAUCCGCAUUUAAAAGGGAAGAUUUCAUGUGAUUGUUUAAAGCAAUACUUGGAAUUGGCGACAACGUGUAUCAACGAUCAUUCAAAGCAUCGGCCGAGAAUGGAGGUGGUGGAGGAGAAAUUAAGGUUCAUCUUGAAGCUGCAAGAGGAAGCAGAUGGGGAUUGUCCGGACACGGAAUUGAGUUAUCCAGAGGAGCCAUUUUCGCCGAUAAGGUCAUCAGGAGGUUCUCUACGGACUGAGUCGUAUAAAAGCCACAUCGCCACCAUGCUCAGCGGCUCCGAUUUCACGGUAUCGUCGCUUAUGAGUGAAGAAAUGUUAAGUGAACAGAGCUCCGGUUCUAUGGCGUAUUCUCGGAAGACAUAAUUUAUUUCUUAAAAAAAAAAUCCUUUUUGUUCUUCUUUUUCUUUUUAUAAUUUUAUUUAAAAUACCGUUUUAGCGGUUAGGUUUUGAAAAUAACGUUAUAGUUUGGAGUUGGUUUAGUUCUUAAAGCACUUAUGCUUUGAACUAAAAGUAAUGAAUAUAUAUAAACUAGUCUCUGUAAAUUUUACAAACGUAAUGUAUGUUUGUUGUGGAUUUUAUUUAAUUUUGAUUGCCAUACAUAUGACUUGAUUAAUAAAUUAAAUAUAUAUAUGAUUGUUAAAACAAUUGGUUGAAAGGGUAAUCUAAUAGUGAAGUUUUUAUCCGUGGAAUGGUAGGAUUGGACAUACAUCGUCUACCUAAUUAGGCCUUAUUCUUUUAACUUUAACUUUACUACCAAGAAGUCCCACAUACAAUUCUUGGUCUAUUAAAUUUUUAAAAGUAAAAGGGUCGGACUCUAUUGGCUUAUUAAGAGAAAACACAAAAGGGUUUUAAAGCAUAAAAAAGAAAGAGAAAAGGGAAAGAAAAUGGUUUCUUCACUCUAAAUAUUAUCAUUGUUGUCCUCAAUCAUUUGAUCCACUUCUUCCCCUUCAAUAAUUCAAUACCCAAAUCAAUUACAUAUGCUUUCUAUUCUUAACUAUAUUCUCACCUACCUAACCCUAAAACAAAAAUGUGCUAUCCAAACUAAUAAAAUGGUUAAACACUAAGAAAACUUUUAAAUAUUAUAUGUUAGUGUAUGUUCAUGAAGAAAUAAAAGUUUGAAUCUUAUUAAUUUUUUUAAGAAAAGAAUGUGUUUUAUCUUUUUUUUUUCUUUUCAAACUUUCCUUUACUUUUUAAAAGUAUAUAUUCAUUUCAAAACUCUCUAUUUCAAUCUGCAUAAGAAACAAAACAUUAUUUUUUCUUUAAAAAGAAUCUUCAAUUGUUUGCCAUGAAAAUCCUUACUCCCUUCUUCCUCUUCUUCUUCCUUCUUCUUCUUCUUACUCCCUCCACUGCUUAUCAAAGUUCUUAUUACAUCCCAGUCGAUAACAUCGCCGUCGACUGCGGCGGCAUCUCUGCCUUCACUGACACCGGCGAUCGAAAAUGGACCGGCGACGUCGCUACUAAUUUCUCCCCAUCUGAACCACCAAACACAGUCAACAAGUCAAUGGUAAAGUCCAGUAAUUCAAACACCAACAACGACCCUCUCUACAAAACGGUACGCCUCUCUCGCUCUCCCUUCACCUACUCUUUCCCGGUCACUCCCGGCCCCAAAUUCAUCCGUCUUUACUUCCUGCCGGAAAAUUUCGACGAAUUUCAUAGAUUCGACGCCUUCUUCACUGUUCAAGCUGCUCAGUUCACUCUCCUUAAAAACUUCAGAGCCUCACUUGUCGCUGAUUUCUCCAAUAAAAGCUUCAUCGCAAGAGAAUUUUGUAUUCAUGUCCCGGGACAAGCAUCAAAAUUGAACAUUACCUUCACCCCAUCUCUGGAUUCUUAUGCCUUCGUCAACGGAAUUGAAGUGGUCUCCAUGCCGGAAAACCUCUACUACUCUCCUGUGAAACAAGGAAGGACGACGCCGGUUAUUGGAAACAAUAUCGCCCUCGAGCUUUAUCAUCGGAAAAAUCUCGGCGGUGAAGACGUCCUUCCGAGUCAAGAUUCCGGCAUGUACCGAAAUUGGGAUGGGAGUAACCUAUAUAUAACCACCAAACAAGUUAUCCCAAUACAAAAUGACUCUGUUUCUAUAAACUACACAACGACCACUCCAAACUUCACAGCUACAGAUUCAGUUUACCAGUCCGCUAUAAUUUUGGGUACGAAUCGAACUCUCAAUUCUAAACAAAAUUUUUCGUUGAAAUUGCCCGUUGAUUUCGGGUUCAAUUAUUUGGUACGACUCCAUUUUUGCCAAAUUCAUAUGGAUCGGUUCCAAGAAAAAGAGAGAAUUUUCACUGUGUUCAUCAAUAACCGAAAUAUAGCCGUUGUCGAUAUAGAUUCCGUCAAUACUCCUUUUUACAAAGAUUAUAAUGUACCAAUGGCGACUGGGAAUACUCCAUUUAUCUUACUGGAUUUACACCCCUUACCAAGUGAGAGCUUCGAUGUGAUUUUGAAUGGAUAUGAAGUGUUCAAACAGAGCAAUGGAACUAAUCUUGCUGUACCAAACCCAGUGGUCGCUCUAGCACCGGAAGUUAAACGGGUAGCCAAAAAUUCAAAUGCAACAGCGAUCAUCGCUGGCGUGUGCAGUAGCAUGGGAUUUGCCAUAUUGGUUUCAAUCGUUGGAUUUGUGGUUAUAUGGAAACAGAGUAAGAAGAAAACGAAGAAAAGGAAGAAGAAGAAGAAAACAAGAGAGGAUAAUUGGCUACCGGAACGACGGUGCCGAAUUUUCACCUUUAAAGAGAUUUGUAAAGCGACAGAUAACUUCAGUAAAGAGAGAGAGAUAAAAGUUCACAGAGGAUUAAGUGUCAUUUACAAAGGAAUUUUCGAGGAUGAAGGCGAUCUCACUGUCGCAAUCAAACGGUUGAAAGACCUCCCGGAAUCGAACGUAGGGGAACAAGAAUUCGUAAGAGAGAUUGAAGUGUUAUCAGAGAUUCGUCACUUGAACCUUGUAUCUCUCAUUGGAUAUUGCUUGGAAAACCAGGAAAUGUUUAUAGUUUACGAAUUUAUGGUAAACGGAACAUUCAGAGAUCAUCUCUACGGUACAUCAAAUUUUCUUCUGCCAUGGAGGAAGCGCCUAGAAGUCUGCAUUGGAGCGGCGUGUGGUUUAAACUACCUACACACUGGAUUCGAGCGACCCAUCAUCCACCGGGACGUCAAUACAACAAAUAUCCUUUUAGACGAAAAUUGGGUUGCAAGAGUUUCUGAUUUAGGGAUGUCGAAAUUGGGGAAAACUAACAUGGCAGUCAGCGCGGUGGUGAAAGGAACUUAUGGUUAUAUAGACCCGGAAUAUUUCAAUAAUAAGACAGUGACAGAAAAAUCUGACGUAUACUCAUUUGGGGUCAUCUUGUUGGAAGUGAUCUGUGGGAGAAAACCAUUGGAACGGCUUGCUGGUGGGGAGUGGUUCGGCCUUGUGGUAUGGGUUUUGGAAUGCUUGGAGAAUGGGAAUGUUUAUGAAAUUAUGGAUCCGAAUUUAAAAGGGAAGAUUACAUAUGAUUGUUUUAAGCAAUACUUGGAAUUGGCGAUAACAUGUAUCAACCAACAUUCAAAGCAUCGACCGAGAAUGAAGGAGGUGGAGGAGAAAUUAAGGUUGAUCUUGAAGCUGCAAGAGGAAGCAGAAGCAGAAGCAGAAGCAGAAGGGGAUAUUUCCAACGGUGAUUAGAGUUAUCCAUAGGAGCCAUUUUGGCUGAUAAAGGCAGUAGGGCAUUUCCUUUUUACAAAACACAAAAACUGCUAUUUACAUUUGUAAUGGACUUGUGUUUAUUCGCUUAUGACUGAAGAAAUGCUAAGUGAACAAAACAUUCGGAUAUGCUAUGUGGCCUAUUUGAUCAGAAGACAUAAUUUGUUUUUCAAAAGUUCCUUUUUAUAAUUUUCUUUAGCCAUUAGGUUUUGGAAAUAAGGUUAUAGUUUGGAGAUGGUGUAGCUAUUAAAUCACUUAGUGCUUUAAAGAAAAAGUAAUGAAUGUAAAUUAGGUUUUGUAAAAUUUCAACUUUUUCCCUAACUUAGAUCACUUUAACUAAAAUUUUAAUUUAAAAUGUCAAAUUCUCAGCUCCUACUUAAAACCUAACAUGUGUAAAAUUAAUAUUUAUCUUAAAUCCUUAAUCUUACACGUUAACGCCUUUCAAAUAUCAGAUUUGAUAUUUUUUCGUCAAACCUUUCUUCUCGCCUAAUUCCAUUUGGCAAAUAGCUUUAACUCCUUAACAUAACUUCCAAAUGUCUCUUAACGCGUAACUCUUCUCGCGGACUACCCAACUUUAUCGCGAAGACUCUUUCUCAGUUAAACACCUAGACUUCAUAGAUCUUAUCGCAAAUCCUUAUUUUCUCAAAGUUUCCUUGCAAACUAACCUCUUAAUCACGUAGACUGACCAAAAUGCUCUUGUCUAAAUCGGAAAAAUUGAAUACCUGAGCAAAUUUUACUUCUUAUACUCAAAUUAGAAGCACGUCUCACAAACCGAUAGCACAUUUUUCAUAUUGAAAACUAUCACUUAUAGAAAAACUACUAAUAACAGCUAUUUAUGAUAACGAUUGAUUGCACAUUUCUCAAAUUUAAAGUUAUCAUAGAUAGUAGUUGUCGAUCAUAUAUAUAAUUCAAAUAAAAGUCAUUCUUAAAGCAACUGAUAACAAUUAUCAAUUAUCAAUUUUAUGCUACAUACCAAAAUUAUUUUAUCCUUGUCUUAAAAGUUAUUUAUGCAACAAAUCCUUGCAGUACUUAAGUCUCAAACUAAUAAUACUUCCUUCAUUGAUUUGAUUCCCUUCUUAUUACAAAUUUUAUUGUUUUGCAUCAACUGUUUGACGUUAUUUAGCUUAAAAGAAAAACUACUCUCUACAUUUGUAUAGACUAUAUCUAGAAAAACAAAAAUAACGAAACCAUCGCUUGGACUAAUGACUUAAAUGUUUCAACAAGAUUACACUCUACCAUAAUUGAGUAUGUGUUAAUACAUAUACAUUGUUUCAAUUUAAUACAUGAAAUUGAGACGUGUGGAUCAUAAUUAAAUUUAUGGAGAUGAAAACUCUGUCAAUCGUGUUUGUAAUUCAAGUUACUCUAUUUAUCAUAACGAAUUGUUAAAACAUUAUUGGUUGAAUUUUACCGUGGGAUAUG
rnacentral:lncRNA from 1 species